rfam:Trichobilharzia regenti genome assembly, scaffold: TRE_scaffold0033901
GUACUAAUGAAGAGUCCCCAGUACUAGGACGAAACAGCUGUCCAGUAC